AUCCAGCUGACGAGUCUCAAAUAGGACGAAACGCGCGUCCUGAAU
rfam:Schistosoma haematobium scaffold609_21, whole genome shotgun sequence.